UACGGGGGGGGCAAGCGUUGUUCGGAAUUACUGGGCGUAAAGGGCUCGUAGGCGGCUAACUAAGUCGGACGUGAAAUCCCUCGGCUUAACCGGGGAACUGCGUCCGAUACUGGAUGGCUUGAGUUUGGGAGAGGGAUGCGGAAUUCAUGGUGUAGCAGUGAAAUGCGUAGAGAUCAUGAGGAAGACCAGUGGCGAAGGCGGGUCUCUGGACAGUUCCUGACACUGAGGCACGAAGGCCAGGGGAGCAAACGGG
rnacentral:rRNA from 1 species